rnacentral:pre_miRNA from 1 species
CUUAUACUCCCUCCGUUCGGAAUUACUCGUCCAAGAAAUGAAUGUAUCUAGAUGUAUUUUAGUUGUAGAUACGUUCAUUUUUGUGACAAGUAAUUCUGAAUGGAGGGAGUAUAUC